GCGGGAAUAGCUCAGUUGGUAGAGCACGACCUUGCCAAAGUCGGGGUCGCGAGUUCGAGUCUCGUUUCCCGCUCCA
rnacentral:tRNA from 2 species